UACCCGCAGCACGGGUGGUGGUCAUUAUUAUUGGGCCUAAAGCGUCCGUUGCUGGCGUGUUAGAUGCCUGGGUAAAUCGAUGCGCUCAACGUAUCGAAUUCCGGGUAGACCGGCACGCUCGAGACCGGGAGAGGUGUAGGGUACUCGGGGGGUAGGGGUAAAAUCCUGUAAUCCUCCGGGGACGACCAGUGGCGAAGGCGCUACACUAGAACGGCUCUGACAGUGAGGGACGAAGCCCUGGGGCGCAAACCGG
rnacentral:rRNA from 1 species